GCGGGAAGAUUUAUAUAUAUAAGAAAUGAAGUAAAUUCAAAAAUGAAAAAUUCAAGAUCAGUACUGUGUAGUAAUGGCGAACAAGCUGAUAAGCCAAAUCGGACUCCCGAAAUCAAUCGCAAGCAUAUUUGCAGCUCGCAACCUCCACACUGCUAAGGAUGCAUUAUCGCUUACCGAAUUCGAGUUGAUGGAGCUACUAGAUAUUGGAUUAUCAGAAGUUAGGUCUGCAGUUUCGCACAUUAGUGCAAUCGUUUCACCUCCUUAUAUAACCGCGUUAUCUUUGAUGGAGCAGAGAUUACAAAAUGAGCGAUUUGCCGGGCAUCUCCCAACCUAUCUCAAGGGAUUAGAUGAGGCAUUGUGUGGUGGAUUACCGUUUGGUGUUUUGACUGAGGUUGUCGGUCCUCCUGGAAUCGGUAAAACGCAAUUUUGCCUGAAGAUUUCAUUGUUGGCCUCUCUGCCAGCGAGCUAUGGAGGUUUAGAUGGCCGUGUAAUAUAUAUUGAUGUGGAAUCCAAAUUUAGUUCUAGAAGGAUAAUUGAAAUUGGAACAGCAAGCUUUCCUGAAAUAUUUCACAUGAAAGGAAUGGCGCAGGAGAUGGCUGGUAGGAUCCUUGUUUUGCGGCCAACAUCCCUUUCAGAAUUCACAGAGAGUUUGCAGCAAAUCAAGGUUUUGCUCCUUCAGCAACAAGUGAAGCUACUCAUUGUGGAUAGCAUUGCUGCUCUAGUUUCAGGGGAAUAUGAUCAAAGAGAUCCUAGACAACACUCAUUGGGAUGGCAUAUUUCAUUUAUUAAGUCACUUGCUGAAUUUUCACGAAUUCCUGUUGUCGUGACAAACCAAGUUCGAUCUCAAAGACGUGAUCAAAUCGGCCAUUACUCAUUCCAAGUGCAAAGAAAUGCCGAGUCUCAAGAUGGAACUGAAAAAUAUGAUUCUCAUCUUGUUGCUGCCUUGGGUAUUCACUGGGCUCAUGCUGUGACCAUCCGUCUUGUGCUUGAAGCUAAAUCAGGUCAGAGAUAUAUUAAGGUGGCAAAAUCUCCGAUAUCGCCACCCAUGGCCUUCCCCUUUAACAUAACAUCGUCAGGGAUCACCCUAUUGGAUGAUGAUGGAAUGGAACUAAGAGGGCAGGAAAUAAGCUCAAUUCACUGUCAAGGUUUGUCGCUGGGACUUCUCCAUAACUGGAUCUGUGAAACUGCUCUUAAUAACCAUCAAGGCGGUCAAUGGCCACAAUGACAUUUUUCAUGGGGAAGUGAUGCCAUGAUCAGUGAGAAAUGAGAAUGAAGGUAAAAGGUCUGAGCAGAUAAAUAUGGAGCAGAUUGUUUACUUAAGCUCCUUAUAUUGUUUUUCAAAUCAAUGCGUUCCGGUUGCUUCAUCCUGGAGAAGCUAUCAAUCCAAUCCAGUCCAUAGUCGAUGAUUGCCUAGUUCUUGCUGGCGAUCGAUCCUUUUGUUUUCAGUUUGUUAGUAGAGUUUGUAAUCAAGUCGCUCAUGCCCUCGCCAAAUGGGGUGUGUUUUUCGGGCGUGCUUGCUUAUUUACCGGGGAGAUUCCCUAUCCGGUUAA